rnacentral:rRNA from 1 species
UGGGGGAUAUUGCACAAUGGGCGAAAGCCUGAUGCAGCGACGCCGCGUGGGGGAUGAAGGCUUUCGGGUUGUAAACCUCUUUCGCUAUCGAACAAGGCCCGCUUAGGGUGGGUUGAGGGUAGGUGGAGAAGAAGCGCCGGCUAACUACGUGCCAGCAGCCGCGGUAAUACGUAGGGCGCGAGCGUUGUCCGGGAUUAUUGGGCGUAAAGGGCUUGUAGGCGGCUUGUUGCGCCUGCUGUGAAAACGCGGGGCUUAACUUCGCGCGUGCAGUGGGUACGGGCAGGCUUGAGUGUGGUAGGGGUGACUGGAAUUCCAGGUGUAGCGGUGGAAUGCGCAGAUAUCUGGAGGAACACCGAUGGAGAAGGCAGGUCACUGGGCCAUUACUGACGCUGAGGAGCGAAAGCAUGGGUAGCGAACAGG